UACAGAGGGCGCGAGCGUUGUCCGGAAUCACUGGGCGUAAAGAGCGUGUAGGCGGCCAGGUAGGUCUGCUGUGAAAACUCGAGGCUUAACCUCGAGAUGUCGGCGGAAACCAUCUGGCUAGAGUACGGAAGAGGCGAGUGGAAUUCCCGGUGUAGCGGUGAAAUGCGCAGAUAUCGGGAGGAACACCAAUUGCGAAGGCAGCUCGCUGGGACGUUACUGACGCUGAGACGCGAAAGCGUGGGGAGCGAACAGG
rnacentral:rRNA from 1 species